rnacentral:rRNA from 1 species
AUUGAACGCUGGCGGCAGGCCUAACACAUGCGAGUCGAGCGCCCAGCAAUGGGAGCGGCAGACGGGUGAGUAACGCGUGGGGAUGUGCCCAAUGGUGCGGAAUAACCCAGGGAAACUUGGAUUAAUACCGCAUGUGCCCUUCGGGGGAAAGAUUUAUCGCCAUUGGAUCAACCCGCGUCUGAUUAGCUAGUUGGUGAGGUAAAGGCUCACCAAGGCGACGACCAGUAGCUGGUCUGAGAGGAUGAUCAGCCACACUGGGACUGAGACGCGGCCCAGACUCCGACGGGAGGCAGCAGUGGGGAAUAUUGGACAAUGGGCGCAAGCCUGAUCCAGCCAUGCCGCGUGAGUGAUGAAGGCCUUAGGGUUGUAAAGCUCUUUCGCCGGUGAAGAUAAUGACGGUAACCGGAGAAGAAGCCCCGGCUAACUUCGUGCCAGCCGCCGCGGUAA